CCUACGGGUGGCAGCAGUGGGGAAUAUUGCACAAUGGGGGAAACCCUGAUGCAGCGACGCCGCAUGAAGGAAGAAGGAUUUCGGGAUGUAAACUUCUAGCAGCAGGGAAGAAAAGGACGGUACCUGACUAAGAAGCCCCGGCGAACGACGUGCCAGCAGCCGCGGUAAUACGUAGGGGGCAAGCGUUACCCGGAUUUCCUGGGUGUAAAGGGAGCGUAGGCGGUUCAGCAAGUCAGAAGUGAAAGCCCGGGGCUCAACUCCGGGACUGCUUUUGAAACUGUUGAACUAGAUUGCAGGAGAGGUAAGUUGAAUUCCUAGUGUAGCGGUGACAUGCGUAGAUAUUAGGCGGCACCCCAGUGGCGAAGGCGGCUUACUGGACUGUAACUGACGCUGAGGCUCGAAAGCGUGGGGAGCAAACAGGAUUAGAUACCCGGGUAGUC
rnacentral:rRNA from 1 species